UAACUGCCAUUAUAAGUUGGCUAAUUAUACAACGUACUGACUUGUCGCAAAUGCAAGUGAAUUCCAGACGAAUUUUGACAGUAUGUAUAUAUUUGUAUCAGUCUGUAUCUUUAUUUGUCUUUAUCUUUAAAUUGAUUUUGUCUUAAUUUUCUUUUCCCGUAAUUAUCUCACUUAAACGCGUUUGUUAUCGUAUGUGAAGCAUAUUUUAAGGAAACAGGAUAAGAAUAACAAUUCAGAUUAAUAUGUUUUAAAAUAAUAUAACGAUUAUAAGGACCAAAAGAUAUGGAAUGAAAUCACGGAUUAAAAUAAAUAAAAUAAAGCAGUACUUCUAGUAGUAAUUUUGAUUUCUGGUAACGUUUGUUCCAUUUUAGUUUGUUUAUACGUGUGGACCCUGUGGAAGAACGAUUAUAAAAUGUAGGUGGGUGUGUGUUUCAAAAAAAAAAAAAUGUAGGUGGGUGUAGCUUAAGAAGGUUGACUUUUGCUCCCG
rnacentral:lncRNA from 1 species